rnacentral:rRNA from 1 species
UCGAGAGGCUUCGGCAAUGGGGGAAACCCUGACCGAGCGACGCCGCGUGGGCGAUGAAGGCCUUCGGGUUGUAAAGCCCUUUCAGGUGGGAAGAAAGGCGGACGGGUGAAUAAUCCGUCUGCUGUGACGGUACCGCCAGAAGAAGCUCCGGCUAACUCCGUGCCAGCAGCCGCGGUAAUACGGGGGGAGCAAGCGUUGUUCGGAUUCAUUGGGCGUAAAGGGCGCGUAGGCGGCCCGGUAAGUCUGACGUGAAAUGUACCGGUUCAACCGGGGCACUGUGUCGGAAACUGCUGGGCUUGAGGUCGAGGGAGGAAAGUGGAAUUCCUGGUGUAGCGGUGAAAUGCGUAGAUAUCAGGAGGAACACCCGUGGCGAAGGCGACUUUCUAUCUCGAAUCUGACGCUGAGGCGCGAAAGCUAGGGGAGCAAACGGG